GACGAACGCUGGCGGCGUGCUUAACACAUGCAAGUCGAACGGAAAGGCCCUGCUUUUGUGGGGUGCUCGAGUGGCGAACGGGUGAGUAACACGUGAGUAACCUGCCCCUGACUUUGGGAUAACUUCAGGAAACUGGGGCUAAUACCGGAUAGGAGCUCCUGCUGCAUGGUGGGGGUUGGAAAGUUUCGGCGGUUGGGGAUGGACUCGCGGCUUAUCAGCUUGUUGGUGGGGUAGUGGCUUACCAAGGCUUUGACGGGUAGCCGGCCUGAGAGGGUGUCCGGCCACAUUGGGACUGAGAUACGGCCCAGACUCCUACGGGAGGCAGCAGUGGGGAAUAUUGCACAAUGGGCGGAAGCCUGAUGCAGCAACGCCGCGUGCGGGAUGACGGCCUUCGGGUUGUAAACCGCUUUCGCCUGUGACGAAGCGUGAGUGACGGUAAUGGGUAAAGAAGCACCGGCUAACUACGUG
rnacentral:rRNA from 1 species